rnacentral:rRNA from 1 species
AACGAACGCUGGCGGCAUGCCUAACACAUGCAAGUCGAACGAGACCUUCGGGUCUAGUGGCGCACGGGUGCGUAACGCGUGGGAACCUGCCCUUAGGUUCGGAAUAACUCCCCGAAAGGGGUGCUAAUACCGGAUAAUGUCUUCGGACCAAAGGUUUAUCGCCUUUGGAUGGGCCCGCGUUGGAUUAGCUUGUUGGUAGGGUAAAAGCCUACCAAGGCGACGAUCCAUAGCUGGUCUGAGAGGAUGAUCAGCCACACUGGGACUGAGACACGGCCCAGACUCGUACGGGAGGCAGCAGUGGGGAAUAUUGGAAAAUGGGCGAAAGCCUGAUCAAGCAAUGCCGCGUGAGUGAUGAAGGCCUUAGGGUUGUAAAGCUCUUUUACCCGGGAUGAUAAUGACAGUACCGGGAGAAUAAGCACCGGCUAACUCCGUG